rnacentral:rRNA from 1 species
GACGAACGCUGGCGGCGUGCCUAAUACAUGCAAGUAGAACGCUGAAGAGAGGAGCUUGCUCUUCUUGGAUGAGUUGCGAACGGGUGAGUAACGCGUAGGUAACCUGCCUUGUAGCGGGGGAUAACUAUUGGAAACGAUAGCUAAUACCGCAUAACAAUGGAUGACACAUGUCAUUUAUUUGAAAGGGGCAAUUGCUCCACUACAAGAUGGACCUGCGUUGUAUUAGCUAGUAGGUGAGGUAACGGCUCACCUAGGCGACGAUACAUAGCCGACCUGAGAGGGUGAUCGGCCACACUGGGACUGAGACACGGCCCAGACUCCUACGGGAGGCAGCAGUAGGGAAUCUUCGGCAAUGGGGGCAACCCUGACCGAGCAACGCCGCGUGAGUGAAGAAGGAUUUCGGAUCGUAAAGCUCUGUUGUAAGUCAAGAACGAGUGUGAGAGUGGAAAGUUCACACUGUGACGGUAGCUUACCAGAAAGGGACGGCUAACUACGUG